GCCGUGGGGAGUGGUCGCACCGUCGCCACGGGGGAAAAGACUGAUCAAUGGGGAUCACGUCGUGACACCAGGAGGGAGGAUCAAGAGCACUUCACUCGAAUAUGUAUCCUCAUGGAUUAAUGAUGCGUGGAGAAGCCUUCCCCAGACCACCGUUCAGAACGACUGCGAGCAGCAACAAAGAAAUGUCAACAGCGAUGCGGAAUAAAUGCUCGUUCACUCUUUGCCCAGGGGUAAACCUCAUCAACUUUUUUGCGGGUCUCUCUCCUCGAGGGAGAUGUAUCUUUUAUGCUUUUCCAGGGAACUAAAACGUGUCUACGGGAAAAACUUGACUGCCACAGGAAGCUGACGUCAAGCUGCCUGAAGCUGCUCCUACAGCAGGAAAUCUGGUUUUGUUAGAAGCUUUUACAGUGCCAUGGAGCAGAGCGUACGGACUCCUAAUUUCCUUGCAUAUGGUGUAAGCACUACGUCACACACUUGCUACUUGCAUAAGACUGCGUAAAGCGCAAGCUUUGUCUGCUAAGUUUCAAAGAGUUGGAACACGUUCGCACGCCAUUUCGGAUACGGUGACAACGACAGGAUUAUGUGCACAAAAUUACAUACACAAAAUCGUACCAACUCAUAAGACUGGCUCAUUAUUAGUAGGGCCGGAAUUUUCGGGUAUUCGCCUAUAAAUGCCACCUAAAUGCCACAUUUUGGGCUUUUUCAUCCCCUCAUUGAAUUGUAGCUUUUUUCAACAUCUUUAGAUGCCAUAACCGUCUUUUUUAGAGGUGCAAGUGUGAG